AUGAACGCUGGCGGCGUGCCUAAUCCAUGCAAGUCGAGCGCACGGACGAGAAGCUUGCUUCUCUGAUGUUAGCGGCGGACGGGUGAGUAACACGUGGAUAACCUACCUAUAAGACUGGGAUAACUUCGGGAAACCGUAGCUAAUACCGGAUAAUAUUUUGAACCGCAUGGUUCAAAAGUGAAAGACGGUCUUGCUGUCACUUAUAGAUGGAUCCGCGCUGCAUUAGCUAGUUGGUAAGGUAACGGCUUACCAAGGCAACGAUGCAUAGCCAACCUGAGAGGGUGAUCGGCCACACUGGAACUGAGACACGGUCCAGACUCCUACGGGAGGCAGCAGUAGGGAAUCUUCCGCAAUGGGCGAAAGCCUGACGGAGCAACGCCGCGUGAGUGAUGAAGGUCUUCGGAUCGUAAAACUCUGUUAUUAGGGAAGAACAUAUGUGUAAGUAACUGUGCACAUCUUGACGGUACCUAAUCAGAAAGCCACGGCUAACUACGUG
rnacentral:rRNA from 1 species